AGUGAACGCUGGCGGCGUGCUUAACACAUGCAAGUCGAGCGAGAACGGGUUAUAGCUUGCUAUAAUUGUCAGCUAAGUGUCGCACGGGUGAGUAAUGUAUAGGUAAUAUGCCUCUUACUAAGGGAUAACAAAUGGAAACGUUUGCUAAUACCUUAUACUCCUUAUUAACAUAAGUUAAUAAGGGAAAGAUUUAUUGGUAAGAGAUUAGCCUGUAUUGUAUCAGUUAGUUGGUGGGGUAAUGGCUUACCAAGACUAUGACACAUAACUGGUUUGAGAGGAUGAUCAGUCACACUGGAACUGAGACACGGUCCAGACUCCUACGGGAGGCAGCAGUGGGGAAUAUUGCACAAUGGACGAAAGUCUGAUGCAGCAACGCCGCGUGGAGGAUGACACAUUUCGGUGCGUAAACUCCUUUUAUAUGAGAAGAUAAUGACGGUAUUAUAUGAAUAAGCACCGGCUAACUCCGUGCCAGCAGCCGCAGUAA
rnacentral:rRNA from 1 species